rnacentral:rRNA from 1 species
AGAGCGAACGCUGGCGGCAGGCCUAACACAUGCAAGUCGAGCGCCCGUAGCAAUACGGGAGCGGCAGACGGGAUAGUAACACGUGGGAACGCGCCCUUCGGUUCGGAAUAACUCAGGGAAACUUGAGCUAAUACCGGAUACGCCCUUACGGGGAAAGAUUUAUUGCCGAAGGAACGGCCCACGUCCGAUUAGCUAGUUGGUGAGGUAAUGGCUCACCAAGGCGACGAUCGGUAGCUGGUCUGAGAGGAUGACCAGCAUCACUGGGACUGAGACACGGCCCAGACUCCUACGGGAGGAAGCAGUGGGGAAUAUUGGACAAUGGGCGCAAGCCUGAUCCAGCCAUGCCGCGUGGAUGAUGAAGGCCUUAGGGUUGUAAAGUCCUUUAACGGGGAAGAUAAUGACGGUACCGUAGAAUAAGCCCGGCUAACUUCGUGCCAGCAGCCGC